rnacentral:rRNA from 1 species
GUCGAGCGAGCUUGCCUAGAUGAAUUUGGUGCUUGCACCAGAUGAAACUAGAUACAAGCGAGCGGCGGACGGGUGAGUAACACGUGGGUAACCUGCCCAAGAGACUGGGAUAACACCUGGAAACAGAUGCUAAUACCGGAUAACAACACUAGACGCAUGUCUAGAGUUUAAAAGAUGGUUCUGCUAUCACUCUUGGAUGGACCUGCGGUGCAUUAGCUAGUUGGUAAGGUAACGGCUUACCAAGGCAAUGAUGCAUAGCCGAGUUGAGAGACUGAUCGGCCACAUUGGGACUGAGACACGGCCCAAACUCCUACGGGAGGCAGCAGUAGGGAAUCUUCCACAAUGGACGCAAGUCUGAUGGAGCAACGCCGCGUGAGUGAAGAAGGGUUUCGGCUCGUAAAGCUCUGUUGGUAGUGAAGAAAGAUAGAGGUAGUAACUGGCCUUUAUUUGACGGUAAUUACUUAGAAAGUCACGGCUAACUACGUGCCAGCAGCCGCGGUAAUACGUAGGUGGCAAGCGUUGUCCGGAUUUAUUGGGCGUAAAGCGAGUGCAGGCGGUUCAAUAAGUCUGAUGUGAAAGCCUUCGGCUCAACCGGAGAAUUGCAUCAGAAACUGUUGAACUUGAGUGCAGAAGAGGAGAGUGGAACUCCAUGUGUAGCGGUGGAAUGCGUAUAUAUAUGGAAGAACACCAGUGGCGAAGGCGGCUCUCUGGUCUGCAACUGACGCUG